UUGAUGUUACAGGUGGGGUAUCUACAGUUUGGAUCACAGUGUUACUCACGAGCAAUAUCAUUCUCAUGAUUCUGGCUGGAUUCUUCAUCUACAAGUACAUCCAGAAUUGGGAUUCACGGACGAAGGAGAGAGCCUCGGAGAUCCUGGACAUGACCGUCAGCUCCACUGCACACUUGACCGCACCUCAGGACACGGAGAGGCAGAGGACGAGCCAGAUCCCACCAGAAGUUUCACCAGGAAUGCCCGUUGGAGAGGAGGAGGAGGGUGACCCGGUGUACGC